ensembl:lncRNA
CCGCUGAACCACCGGGAAAGCCCGUUAAUCGGCUAUACUCAAAUACAAAAUAAAAAGUUGAAAAAAAAACCAACAAGAGCAACAAAAAUAAAUGAGAAGGAAAAGCACCCCUACCAUGUGGAACAGCACGACAGAAGGCAGGGAAAUGUGAAGUGUAAGUGUAGAUGAUAGAAAGGGGAAAUGCGUCUUCUGAAAAGCUAACCCAACAAACGGCCCCCAGGUAAGCCAUAGCCUCCCCCGGGGGAGACAAACCGCAGCCCCCAGCAUCUUCCCGCAAGCCUCUCCCCACUCACCCUCACGUGUGUGAUUUAGAAAUAGGAUACAGCAAGCUGACAGAUUCGGCCAUCCUUCAAGGGGCCAACGUUAUAUUCGGAGGCACAUUAGAUAACUUGAUUUUAUCUGUUUACAUACAAGGUGGUACAACUUUUGUGCAGAGUGCAGAAAGCGAAGCAGCGUAGGAAACUUCCAGCCCGAGUGGAGCAGCGCUCCCUGUGAAUGAGCACCCUCCCCCGACCAACCAGAAUACAGGCGACAUCAGCCAAUCCCGACUCGGCAGUGCCCUGGUCGGGGCGGGGCUGACACGCCCAGAGUUGUUUGUUUGCCUCGGCUCCCCACCCGUCCGGCUCUAACCCUAGUCUACCCCAGGGAGGAAAUCGCGGAGACGAGGCCGGCAAAGUAGAUUUGGCCAAACUGUGGAGGGCAUCGGACUUUGGGCACUGCAGUAGGUGGACAGACCCAGCCCUGCAAAAGCCACAUUUUCCGCGCGCUCUGCAGGACGCCUCUCAGAGCGCUGAGUCCAGGCUACCUUCAGGAGAGCAGGUGGAGCCGAUGAGGGCAGGUUCGGGGGCGAGCGAGCAGGUCUGCGAAGGAUGUCAGGUUUCUCCCCCACAUCCUGCCUGGCGCCACCCUCUCCCCGGUUUUCUUCCUCAGACCUCCUUGACAGCCACAAAGUUUCUGGUGUUGACACACUGGCAGGACUUCCCUUGCAUGGGGCAGGCCACCCUGGAGUCAAGGCCUGCGCUUCUGAGAUGAAGCUCUGGGAUUCCAGGAAGGGGGCUCCCUACCUCCUCAGCUGGAAGUGGCUCCUGAGUGCCCACCACAGGAGGAAUUCCCUACAAAUCAUCUGAAUCUUGCCUCUUUCUUCAGCUACUGAUUUUGUCCUUUUUCUGACCAAGAAGAGCAUGUCUUCUUUUCUGCCCCUUGACUGGAGCUGAGAUCGGCACAGCGGGUUUGGCCUCACAGCCUGUCUCAGGCCCUCUGAGGAAUCACGUCCAGCCCAAGGCAGACGCAUGGAGAGGGAAGGGCGGGGUGGGGGUGGGGGGGCACACCACAGGAAGCACAGGGCAUUUUCUCCAAACUCUCUCUCUCUCCCUUCCCUGGGCCUCAUUCUAACCUCCAAGUUCCCAGUUUCCCUUCUCUCCCUCACCUCAUAAGCAAAGCUGAUUUCCCUCUGGCUCUGUUCCCACCACUAACAAAGCUAGGAAUUUCUUGGCUCGGGAGCAAAGGCCUUGAGGAUCCAGGCUCUUUGGAGCCUGAUCUCUAGUGGAUCUAGGCUGACUCUAUAAGAACUGUGGUGGCUUUGGUGGCCCACAAGGUUGACCAACAUUUAGCUUCCCAUUCGUCUCCGGGGCUGGCUCCCCUCUGCACAAGCAGUCUCUGGAACUGGCACGUCUGCUCCCAGCCUGGGACCCAGGCAAUGACUGCCAGAGCCGCUGCACAGUCACCAGAAGGACAUGUUCUUUCCCUUCCCCUUGGUCUUCUCAUCCUCUCCAGCGGCUGUGCCAAGUCACUCCCUGGCAGAAGAGAAUGGUGUCCUCAAAUGUCUAUCACUAGCCUACUAAUUCUUACCCAGGCUCUUUACAGAUGCAC